UUCCCCCAAACUUUACCGUUCAUCUUCCUCCCUCUCCUAUCUUCUCCUUAAAAUUCCUCUCAAAUCCACCACUAAAUCUUCAAUAGGUCAUUCAUUGAAUUGAAGGCUGGAUCCAUGAGCUAGUUUAUUUGGACUGAUAGCAAGCAGUGGUUUCUGCAAGCAUCAAGAUCCGAUCCAAUAAAGGCAAACUCUACAUGCAAGCAAGUCGGAGGCCCAGCCGUUGAUGCGGGCUACUCGAUUCUGGCAACAUUUAGCGAGCUCCUGCGGAGGCAUGGCUACUACUGCUUUCAGACCCUUCUCCUGAUCGAUGGCGGUGUCAUGAAGCUUUCCAGCUGCCCCGUCGCUUCUCCUGUAGAUGCAGUACAGCGCCAGCUGAAGGAUGCCCAUUGGAACACCGAUGAAGUUCGGAGACUGCAUCAAACCAAGAAAAGUAUGUGAAGCAUCAGAGAGAGUGAUGAUGGUUUUAUCGAGUUCCAUUUUAUCAGUGAACUUGAUCAGGAUCCUGCACUAACCGCGAUGAACAGAUCCCUCCCAAGGAGCCCGUAUAUCAUCCACAAAGCGCUGGACAGGAAGGAAAACAGUGACAGGUAGAAUGGCAUGAACUCCACGCUUUUCGUGGUGAUGACCUGCUUCUGAAGUUACAAAUUCAGUUUCGGAAAACCCUUGGUUAGAAAACUGCAGUACACAUACGUUGCAGAAGUGAAAAUUAAUGCUUUUUACUUAGUUAAUCUGAUUUGGUUUCUGUACUACUACUUCGAUGUGAGUUGCAGGUGGAUUGGAGUUUUUGUAAAACAGGUUCAUAAUGAAUCAUCAACUGCUAUCUGAUUGUGGAGGUAA